AAGUCGUAACAAGGUUUCCGUAGGUGAACCUGCGGAAGGAUCAUUAAAGAAUAAUCGAGCUUCACAGCUCUUAUUCUCACCCUUUGUAUAUCAAACUUUGUUGCUUUGGCAGCGCCUUUAGGGCCUGCCAGAGGACCGAAACCCUAGAAAUCUCUGCCGUCUGAGUACCUAAUUUAAAGGUUAAAAA
rnacentral:misc_RNA from 1 species